UGUCCUAAAAUAACUUCAAAUACCUUCAACUGCCAUCUUAUUUGAAAUUCUUCCAUACAAAAACUUAUUUUGAUUAUUUGAAACUUCUUAGAAAUUAUGAAGUAAUGCUGCUUGUACACGCUGGGAGCUAGUGCCUAUAAAAUGGUCGUUCCAUCCAUGCCAUCUUGCAUCAAAUCUCUACAUCUUCAUACAUUCUACUGCUCUGUAACUCACCAUCUCUCCUAUCGAGGAAGCACAGAAUCUCUGCCUCAUUUACAAACUUGCGUUACAUUCUUUUGUACCCAAACAAACCUCUGUUUCACACACCAAGCCCAAGCCUUUAUAAUAUCUAAUCCUAUUUAUCUAAGUGCCAGCUUCAAUACUUAGACUGCAAUGGGAAGCAUUGAUGACUUCAGCCGUUAUUCUUUCCCAGAUGAUUUUGUUUUCGGAACAUCCUCAUCAGCUUACCAGUAUGAAGGUGAAACAAACAAACAUGGUAGAGGACCAGCUAUAUGGGACACUUUCACUGAGGAACAUACAGAGAGAAUAAAUGAUCAUAGCAACGGAAAUGUAGCUGUUGAUUUCUACCAUCGCUAUAAAGUAUGGG